GGGCAAGUCUGUUUGUUUUCAUUUAAUUUUUCUCACUCGUCACAACUUUUAUUUAUAUGCGGCAAGGAACGAACCGCUCGCGUCGACCGCACGCUCAUUACUGAGGUGACGGAAACAGCAGCAGCAGUGAACUACCGACCGACUCGACCGCACCGUGGGAGAUUAUAUUGCACAUGUAUUUGUAACGCAUACUUUUUCUCUCUGCAAAUAAUUGAAAAUGCUAACAGCUGGCAACUUUGGCUUUAUCAAACUUCAUUGGUUACGACCGAUUUCCGCGUGCCCUUCAACUUGCCUGCAACCGUCCCAAGCACAAACGAAUGCAAACACAGAAGGCAAACGCGAAGCACUCACACAAUAAACGAGCUAGCGCUCACGUAGCCCAUCGUACAGUACAAAAACAAAGGCACAUGCAUGAAAAUCAAAACGGCCGACUGAAAGAGAAGACGCCACAAGAGAGAGAGGCAUGGUCAAAGGCGAUUGAAUUUGUUUGACAAAGCGAAUGUGGGGAAAAAACGAGGAACUAAAGAAACAGCUGUAAAUACAUGGGCUGAAAGUUGCUGGAAAAGUGCCGCGUGUCUGACAAAUAUGCCAC